UACGGAGGAUUCAAGCGUUAUCCGGAUUUAUUGGGUUUAAAGGGUGCGUAGGCGGAUUGAUAAGUUAGAGGUGAAAUGUCCGAGCUCAACUCGGGAACUGCCUCUAAUACUGUUGAUCUAGAGAGUAGAUGCGGUAGGCGGAAUGUAUGGUGUAGCGGUGGAAUGCGCAGAUAUCGGGAAGAACACCGGUGGCGAAGGCGGCCUUCUGGGCCAUCACUGACGCUGAGGCGCGAAAGCUAGGGGAGCAAACAGG
rnacentral:rRNA from 1 species